UACGGAGGGCUCAAACGUUGUUCGGAAUCACUGGGCAUAAAGCGCACGUAGGCGGCCUAUCAAGUCAGAUGUGAAAGCCCCCGGCCCAACCGGGGAACUGCAUCUGAAACUGGUAGGCUCGAGGAUGGCAGGGGUGAGUGGAACUCCAGGUGGAACGGUGAAAUGUGUAGAUAUCUGGAGGAACACCGGUGGCGAAAGCG
rnacentral:rRNA from 1 species